AGCAGUGGACUACUUGACUGCUGCUCCCAGUUAUGGUGACCACAUAGUGCCAAACUAACAGCGGAGCUUGAAGCAGUCCAAUGCCACUACACUAAAAAGAUUGAAACAGUGCAGCAGAUGAGCCGCAGGGAGAGGCUGAGAAAACUGCAACUUUACUCCCUGGAGCAAAGGUGCAACAGAUAUGUAAUAAUUUACAUGU